UGGAGGUGAUGAACAGUCUUAGCCUGACCUUAGUCGAGUGGAGGCAAAAAAAGAAAAAAGAAAUAGUUAUUAAGCUUGAUUAUUCC